rnacentral:rRNA from 1 species
AGAAUCAACGCUGGCGGCGUGCCUCAGACAUGCAAGUCGAACGCGAAAGUCCCCUUCGGGGGGCAAGUAGAGUGGCGCACGGGUGAGUAACACGUAGGUAAUCUACCUUUGGAUGGGGGAAUAACAAUCGGAAACGGUUGCUAAUACCGCAUAAUGCAGCGGCACCUAAUGGUGACAGUUGUUAAAGCGGGGGAUCGAAAGACCUCGCGUCUGAAGAGGAGCCUGCGGCGGAUUAGCUAGUUGGUAAGGUAAUGGCUUACCAAGGCUACGAUCC